rnacentral:tRNA from 1 species
UCUGGGGAUAGGCAAUAGCUCAGUGGUAGAGCAUCUGCUUUGCAUGCAGAAGGUUCUUGGUUCAAUCCUUGGCACCUCCAGAU